rnacentral:rRNA from 1 species
AGGAUGAACGCUGGCGGAGUGCCUAACACAUGCAAGUCGAGCGGCAGCGGAAGUAGUUUACUACUUGCCGGCGAGCGGCGGACGGCUGAGUAACGCGUGGGAACGUGCCCCAAAGUGAGGAAUAACUGCCCGAAAGGGUAGCUAAUGCCGCAUAUGAUCUUCGGAUUAAAGGAUUUAUCCGCUUUGGGAGCGGCCCGCGUUAGAUUAGGUAGUUGGUGAGGUAAAGGCUCACCAAGCCGACGAUCUAUAGCUGGUCUGAGAGGAUGACCAGCCAGACUGGAACUGAGACACGGUCCAGACUCCUACGGGAGGCAGCAGUGAGGAAUCUUCCACAAUGGGGGAAACCCUGAUGGAGCAACUCCGCGUGCAGGAUGAAGGCCUUCGGGUCGUAAACUGCUUUUAUUGUGAAGAUAUGACGGUAACAAAUGAAUAAGGGUCGGACUAACUACGCGCCAGCAGCCGC